AUCACCUUAAGAAGUGGAAAUUGGUUCCUUUUUCUUUUGGCCGGGUAGUGAUGAUUUCAAUACUCUUCUCUUCUUUCUGUUAGCUUAUUCAUAAAUAUGCAAAUUAUUUUCUUCUAUUCUUCUCCUAUGGAACGAAUGAAAUCUAAACUCUUGGAAGUUUCUUUCUUUCUUUUGCAAAGAGAAGAUCCAAGUAUUCGAGGCACCUCCACUCAAUUCUUUUCCUCUCUUCCUGCCUUCCAUUCACCAAUCAAUUUACUUUACCCUAAUUAAGGUUUUUUUUCUUUUUUUUUUUGUUUCCUAUAAUUUUCCCGGAAUUUCUGAUUAAAAUAAUCGAAAUAAAAAAAAAAUUUGAAUGUAAAAGUUAGCUCCUGAUCGAAAUUUUUUACAACAGUAUUAGCUCUCAAACAGAUUUUAAAUUUUUUUUCAAUUAAAUUUUAAAAAUAUUGUCAUCAGAGCAAACAGUAAUAAGUGUAAAAGUAAUUUCAGAAGGGGUGCAGGUUUCUAAUCAGCGACGCAGCGUUUCAGCCUAUCACGGCUCGUCCGUAUGACCGUAACGCAUCUGUGUGACUGCUAAGAUUCGUGCAACCGGUAAUACAUGCACCAGCAAACUCUUCGCUCAAGUACCUGUGAGACCGCGACCGUUGAAUUGCUACAAGCAAUUCUUACAGCGUCCAACGUGGCAGUCGCGUAUCUUUCCUGUUUGCUGCAAGGUACUUUGCACCGAUCACAGCAAAUGUCUCGUGGACCCCGCCAGAAGAUGUGGCCAGGAGUUGCACGACCCAUUUUGUCGACCGGUUUGAAGAAUCCAUGACUCCCAUCAGCCCAACAAAGCUCUUUGCUUUCACUAGGCGAGCAAUGAUGCCACGUAAUCAUCUCUUCCAUUUACACGUGGCAACUCCUCCCACGCUCCCUCUGCCCUGUCCGCCCCGGUCCCAAAGCGAACGCCAUGCCGUUCCUCCUCCUCUCCUUCUCUCCGACCAUCCUCGCCUCCAGAGCCUUCGCUUGCACUCCAAAUCCACUCCUCUUCAAUUCCCAUCUCAUCAUGAGCUUGGCUUGGAAGCCUGUUUCCCGGCCUGACGAUCGCCGGCCGGCACGAUGCCAUACAGUCCCGGGACUGAGCGCCGAGGAGGUCGCUGCGGCUUCCGAGGAGGCGUUCGGGAGUUAUUACACUCCCGAUUUGAAGCGGAAGGGCACCGGGGUCGCCAUCAUGUGGUUCAGAAACGACCUCCGGGUGCUCGACAACGAGUCGCUGAUCCGGGCGUGGGCGGCAUCUGAUGCGGUCUUACCGGUGUAUUGUGUGGACCCUCGCCAUUACGGAACUACCCAUUACUUCGGAUUUCCAAAAACUGGAGCCUUCAGAGCACAGUUUCUGAUAGAAAGCCUUGCUGACUUGAAAAAGAAUUUGAUGAAGCAUGGAUUAGACUUGCUUGUACGACAUGGAAAGCCUGAGGACAUCCUCCCUUCAGUUGCGAAAGCUCUUGGAGCCCAUACAGUUUAUGCUCAGAAAGAAAGUUGCAGUGAGGAGCUUCUUGUUGAGGAGCUUGUUCGCAGAGGUUUGCAUCAAGUAGUGAUACAUGAGGGAGAAUCUUCGAAACAGAAAUCUGUAAAUCCUAAGCUACAACUUAUAUGGGGAAGCACUAUGUACCAUAUCGAUGAUCUUCCAUUUGAAGCAAAGAAUUUGCCAGAUGUAUAUACACAGUUCCGUAAGGCUGUUGAAUCGAAGUGUUCAAUUAGGAGUUGCUUCAAAUUGCCAGCAUCACUUGGGCCACUUCCCAGCGGCAGUUUGGAUGAAAUUAGUGGACAGGGAACCAUUCCUACACUUGAGCAACUAGGAUACAACGAGAAAAAGUUUGAACGAGGAAUGCACUUUGUCGGAGGUGAGAAUGCAGCGUUGGGCAGGGUUCAUGAAUAUUUCUGGGAGAAUGACAUGCUAAGGGUCUACAAGGAGACAAGAAAUGGCAUGUUAGGGCCAGAUUAUUCCACAAAAUUCUCUCCAUGGCUUGCUUCUGGUAGUCUCUCUCCACGUUAUAUCUAUGAAGAGGUAAAGAGAUACGAGAAGCAGCGCUUGGCAAAUGAUUCAACAUACUGGGUUCUAUUUGAGCUGAUAUGGAGAGACUACUUCAGGUUUCUUUCAAUAAAAAAUGGAAAUUCAAUUUUUCAUCUAGGAGGUCCAAGAAAAGUGAUGUCCAAGUGGAGCCAAGAUCAGUCACUCUUUGAGUCUUGGAGAGAUGGUCGAACAGGUUAUCCUCUCAUUGAUGCAAACAUGAAAGAGCUAUGCACCACUGGCUUCAUGUCAAACCGGGGACGUCAGUUUAUUUGUAGAUUGUCUGCUCAUUUCUGGUUCGAGAUAUGGGCAUAGACUGGCGCAUGGGAGCUGAAUGGUUUGAGACAUGUCUCUUAGAUUAUGAUCCAGCAUCAAAUUAUGGUAACUGGACUUAUGGAGCAGGAGUCGGUAAUGACCCAAGAGAAGAUCGGUAUUUUAGUAUCCCAAAACAAGCAAAAACCUAUGAUCCUGAAGGUGAGUAUGUUGCUUACUGGUUGCCAGAGCUACGAGCGCUUCCAAAGGAUAGAAGGAACUUCCCAGGACAAUCAUAUAUUAAGCAAGUUGUACCUUUAAAGUUUGAGAACACAAAUCAAAGGAAUGAUUACGCCAAAAGAGGGAAGGGGAAAUGGAACAAUGUGCACGAAGGAUGAGAGGCCCCAUAUACUGAUAAUGCAAUAAAAUGACCGCAUAUGAAGAUUUUUUUUCUCUCUCUCAAAACUACAAUUCAGAAUUAGUUGCACCGAAAUUGAAACGAGUCCAUUGUUUAUAAUACUAUUUCAUUGAAUAGAAACUAAAAGAUCAGUAGUUUAUGAUGAUU